rnacentral:rRNA from 1 species
UAAGUAUAAACCCCUUUACAAGUAUCAAUUGGAGGGCAAGUCUGGUGCCAGCAGCCGCGGUAAUUCCAGCUCCAAUAGCGUAUAUUAAAGUUGUUGCAGUUAAAAAGCUCGUAGUUGAAUUUCUGUUAAUACCUUAUAUAUAAUAUUUUUUUUUAAAUAUUAUUAUGUAAGAUUAACAUAAUUCAUAUUUUUUAAGACUGAAUUUUUAGUUUU